rnacentral:snRNA from 1 species
GGAUAUGAAAGCAAAUCCGGCUGCAGUGUCUGUCACCCCAUUGGUUGUGCCAAGGCUGACUUGGCUGAUCUGCCUGAAUAAGCAGGUGCCCUCUUCCUCCUUCAACGUUCAAUGAGUGUCCUUCCUGAACUGUGUACUUGGUGGACGAGGAGGGAGGGCCAUGCUGGAGAGAGAGAUACAGAGAGAGAGACAGAGACAGAGAGACUGUUGUCUGUCUGUCUCUGUGUGUACGUGUAUCUGCACUCACCUAGAAGAAUCUGCACUCACCUAUCUGAACCUUCAUCUUCCAGAU